ACUGGAGUGAAUCAGUGUAGCGACGCCGUGAAACUAUCAUCGGGAAUCUAUAUAAAUAAAAAUGAACAAUACAUGUAAAAAAAAUCACUAUCGAAAAGAUUUAAAUACGAAAUAAAACAAUAAUCAAACAAUACACGGGCAAGACGGGUUAUCACUGGCCUGAGUGUAGUGGAUUAUUCUAAAACUGAACACCAAUGUCCAAAAACUACAUUUGACUCCUCGACGACAAUUUUUUACAAUAUUCUACAACGAUUUAGCUGUUUUGAAGAUGAAGUGUUCGGAAGUAAUUCAUUCUAUAUCAACCGAUCUGGUGAAUUCUUUCUUCAAACGAAAUCCUUCGGACAUCAGGUCACAGUACUAUUUUUACCUUGACGCGCAUUGUUUCGUGGAGCUUACCAUGUUGGCACUCUCCUGGAUUAAUUUUCGAGAGCGAAACGAACAAAGCAGGUGUAUCAGCAGCCGAUGAAUGCAAUAUUCCAAUAGAAAAGGAAUAAUUAUGUUACAAGAAGAACAAUAUAGGUUUCAUUCAAAUCAUAUUUUUAUUUAUUGUAUUAGCAG